rnacentral:tRNA from 1 species
GGGAAUGUGGCUUAGUGGUAGAGUGCUUGCCUAACAUGCAUGAAGCCCUGAGUUCAAUUCCUCAGUACCA